rnacentral:rRNA from 1 species
AUUGAACGCUGGCGGCAGGCCUAACACAUGCAAGUCGAACGAGUGGCGGACGGGUGAGUAAUGUCUGGGAAACUGCCCGAUGGAGGGGGAUAACUACUGGAAACGGUAGCUAAUACCGCGUACCAUCGGAUGUGCCCAGAUGGGAUUAGCUUGUAGGUGAGGUAACGGCUCACCUAGGCGACGAUCCCUAGCUGGUCUGAGAGGAUGACCAGGCAAACUGGAACGGAGACACGGUCCAGUAGCCGACGGGAGGAAGCGGUGGGGAAUAUUGCGCAAGUGGGUCAAGACUGAGGCAGCUAGGCCGCGUGUAGGAAGAAGUCCUUCGGGUUGUAAAGGACUGUCAGCGGGGAGGCGUUACCCUCAGAAGAAGCACCGGCUAACUCCGUGCCAGCAGCCGCGGUAAUAC